rnacentral:tRNA from 1 species
UCCCGGGUGGCUCAGUCAUUUAAGGGUCUGACUUCAGAUCAGGUCAUGAUCUCAUGGUGUGUGGGUUCGAUUCCCACUUUGGGUU